AUGGCGAAUCUCCACCCCAAUCCUCUUCGGUUCAUCCGGCUGGUCCUAAUCAUCGUCGCAGGGCUGAUACGGGUUUUGGCUAGGGUUUGGUAUAAGGAUUUGGAUUCUGUGCCUCAAUAUGUUGUUUGGGAGCAGCCAAAUGCACCUAAUGGUCAGUCUUGGACUAUAUAUGUUUAUACUCUAAAUGGGGAGUUUGCUGAUGUUUUGCCUCCUGAUGAUGAUCUGCCUCGUGGGGAGGGACCUGUGGACCCAGAUGUAAACUUUGAAGAUGCUCCAGCUAGGCAGUUUGGAAAUGAAGGUCAGCAGGGUAAUCAGAAUAACCAAAAUUGGGGAAACUGGGAAGGAGCUCAGGGGGUUCAGAAUGUGGAUGAGCCUUUUUUGCCACCUGUUCCUCCACUGCUUAUUCAUUUGCAAGCUAGCUCUUCUUCUUUGAGGAGUGCAGCCAAGUUGGUUAUUAGUGUUUCUAGUGAUGAGCAUGCCUCUGCCUCUCCAGAUUUGAGUAUUGUUGUUCAAAAGGAAGUUGUUGAUGCUGAACUGGUUAAGUCUCUAUGUGAACGAUUUCCUCAUAUCAUGUUUGAUGAGAAUUUUGUCAAGGAUUCAUCCUUUUGGGCCACACUUCAAUCGUGCCAUGUGGGCCCAUGUGAGUCUUCCUCUGCAGAGUCCCCUAAUUGGGCAAGUCUGAAGAUUUUUGUUUCCCAACAAGUUGAUGAUCAUGUGUUGAUGCCCAUUCCUCUAGCUGUUGUUCACUUGAUAAUCCUGUUUUGUCUUUGCCAUCUCCUGGCAAAGGGUCAAAAAAGAGGGUAGCCACCCCAAU
rnacentral:lncRNA from 1 species